ensembl:snoRNA Gm24240 small nucleolar RNA SNORA31
UCCCAGCGCAUCCCAGUUCAACUGCACCAUAAGAUUUAAAAGUAACACUUCUGGGUUGCGCUAGGAUGCAAAAGGAAACUCUCCCUGUGCCUGUCUUUGUGUCUUUGUGCCCAGGUUGAAUUGGAGAGCACAUGU